rnacentral:sRNA from 1 species
AUUGUGCAUUGAGUAGGUAGUUUCUUAUUGUUGA